rnacentral:miRNA from 1 species
UGCUUGGACUUUGAUGGACUCAAACAAGUAUCUGUUGAGUGCCUUCUAUGUGCCAGGCCCUGUCCAGAG